rnacentral:sRNA from 1 species
UAUUUUUUAACACUAAAACACACACAUAUCAUCAGCUAGAGAUUGGGGUGCGAGAAAUCGUUGAUUUUCUAGGAUAUGUGGAGGCUAAAC